rnacentral:rRNA from 1 species
UGAAUACGAGACGCUAAGGCGUCGAAGUAGUGUAUGUCAUACUUCCAAGAAAAGCUUGCACUGUCAUAGAUAAAAAACGCCUGUACCAUAACCGACACAGGUGGGUAGGUAGAGUAUACUAAGGGGCGCGAGAUAACUCUCUCUAAGGAACUCGGCAAAAUAACUCCGUAACUUCGGGAGAAGGAGUGCCUUAUUCUUAAGGUUGCAAUAACAAGAUCCAAGCAACUGUUUAUCAAAAACACAGGUCUCCGCUAAGUCGUAAGACGAUGUAUGGGGGCUGACGCCUGCCCAGUGCCAGAAGGUUAAGAAGCUGGUUAGCAUUUGCGAAGCUAGUAACUGAAGCCCUGGUGAACGGCGGCCGUAACUAUGACGGUCCUAAGGUAGCGAAAUUCCUUGUCGGGUAAGUUCCGACCCGCACGAAAGGCGUAAUGAUUUGGAUACUGUCUCGGAGAGGGGCUCGGUGGAAUAGACUUGUCUGUGAAGAUGCGGACUACCUGCACCAGGACAGAAAGACCCUAUGAAGCUUUACUGUAACUUGAAAUUGAAAUUGGACUUUAUUCGCGCAGUAUAGGUGGGAGGCGUUGAUUAUAAUCUUGCGGGAUUAUUGGAGCCAUUAGUGAGAUACCACUCUUGUAAUGUUAGAUUUCUAACUUUGAAUCAUUAUCUGGUCAAAGAACAGUUUCAGGCGGGCAGUUUGACUGGGGCGGUCGCCUCCCAAACGGUAACGGAGGCGUACAAAGGUUUCCUCUGAACGGUUAGAAAUCGUAUCUAGGGUGUAAAGGCAUAAGGAAGCUUGACUGUGAGACCUACAAGUCGAGCAGGGACGAAAGUCGGUCUUAGUGAUCUGACGGUACUGAGUGGAAAGGCCGUCACUCAACGGAUAAAAGUUACUCUAGGAUAACAGGCUGAUCUCCCCCAAGAGUUCACAUCGACGGGGAGGUUUGGCACCUCGAUGUCGGCUCAUCGCAUCCUGGGGCGGUAGUACGUCCCAAGGGUUGGGCUGUUCGCCCAUGAAAGCGGUACGCGAGCUGGGUUCAGAACGUCGUGAGACAGUUCGGUCAUAUCCGGUGUAGGCGUUAGAAUAUUGAGAGGAGCCUUCUUUAGUACGAGAGGACCGAGAAGGACAUACCUCUGGUGUACCAGUUAUCGUGCCAACGGUGGACGCUGGGUAGCUAUGUAUGGAGUGGAUAACCGCUGAAAGCAUCUAAGUGGGAAGCCCACCUCAAGAUAAGUAUUCUCA